rnacentral:rRNA from 1 species
UACGAAGGGGGCUAGCGUUGUUCGGAAUUACUGGGCGUAAAGGGCGCGUAGGCGGUCUGAUAAGUUAGGUGUGAAAUUCCCGGGCUUAACCUGGGCGCUGCACUUAAUACUGUUGGGCUUGAAUUCGGGAGAGGAUAGUGGAAUUCCCAGUGUAGAGGUGAAAUUCGUAGAUAUCGGGAGGAACACCUGAGGCGAAGGCGGGCUACUGGGCUGAUACUGACGCUGAGGCGCGAAAGCUAGGGGAGCAAACAGG